rnacentral:rRNA from 1 species
UACGGGGGGGGCAAGCGUUGUUCGGAAUUACUGGGCGUAAAGGGCUCGUAGGCGGCCAACUAAGUCCGACGUGAAAUCCCCAGGCUUAACCUGGGAACUGCGUCGGAUACUGGAUGGCUUGAAUCCGGGAGGAGGAUGCGGAAUUCCAGGUGUAGCGGUGAAAUGCGUAGAUAUCUGGAGGAACACCGGUGGCGAAGGGCGGCAUCCUGGACCGGCAUGACGCCUGAUGAGCGAAAGCCAGGGAGCAAACGGG